AGUUGUCUUAAUUAGAUAUCCAUUAGGAUUUUGGUUUGGCUCAGAUCCUCUGAAAUUCGGUGGGAACUGGAGAGGUACAGUUUGGUAGUUUGAUGGUGACACGUCAAAGAUUUACACACGUCCAAGGCCUUGUUUGGAAAUUAGAGAAUAAAAAAUACAUGACAUCGUUCCUCUUCAAAAAUGAUAAUUACGCGACAAC
rnacentral:lncRNA from 1 species